rnacentral:rRNA from 1 species
AUGAACGCUAGCUACAGGCUUAACACAUGCAAGUCGAGGGGCAUCAGUUUGGUUUGCUUGCAAACCAAAGCUGGCGACCGGCGCACGGGUGAGUAACACGUAUCCAACCUGCCUCAUACUCGGGGAUAGCCUUUCGAAAGAAAGAUUAAUAUCCGAUAGCAUAUAUUUCCCGCAUGGGUUUUAUAUUAAAGAAAUUCGGUAUGAGAUGGGGAUGCGUUCCAUUAGUUUGUUGGCGGGGUAACGGCCCACCAAGACUACGAUGGAUAGGGGUUCUGAGAGGAAGGUCCCCCACAUUGGAACUGAGACACGGUCCAAACUCCUACGGGAGGCAGCAGUGAGGAAUAUUGGUCAAUGGACGCGAGUCUGAACCAGCCAAGUAGCGUGAAGGAUGACUGCCCUAUGGGUUGUAAACUUCUUUUAUAUGGGAAUAAAGUGGUCCACGUGUGGAUUUUUGUAUGUACCAUAUGAAUAAGGAUCGGCUAACUCCGUGCCAGCAGCCGCGGUAAUACGGAGGAUCCGAGCGUUAUCCGGAUUUAUUGGGUUUAAAGGGAGCGUAGGCGGAUUGUUAAGUCAGUUGUGAAAGUUUGCGGCUCAACCGUAAAAUUGCAGUUGAUACUGGCAGUCUUGAGUGCAGUAGAGGUGGGCGGAAUUCGUGGUGUAGCGGUGAAAUGCUUAGAUAUCACGAAGAACUCCGAUUGCGAAGGCAGCUCACUGGAGUGUAACUGACGCUGAUGCUCGAAAGUGUGGGUAUCAAACAGGAUUAGAUACCCUGGUAGUCCACACAGUAAACGAUGAAUACUCGCUGUUUGCGAUAUACAGUAAGCGGCCAAGCGAAAGCAUUAAGUAUUCCACCUGGGGAGUACGCCGGCAACGGUGAAACUCAAAGGAAUUGACGGGGGCCCGCACAAGCGGAGGAACAUGUGGUUUAAUUCGAUGAUACGCGAGGAACCUUACCAAGUCUUGACAUCCCUCUGACCGGAACUUAACCGUUCCUUUCCUUCGGGACAGAGGAGACAGGUGGUGCAUGGUUGUCGUCAGCUCGUGUCGUGAGAUGUUGGGUUAAGUCCCGCAACGAGCGCAACCCUUAUUGUUAGUUGCUACCAUUUAGUUGAGCACUCUAGCGAGACUGCCCGGGUUAACCGGGAGGAAGGUGGGGAUGACGUCAAAUCAGCACGGCCCUUACGUCCGGGGCUACACACGUGUUACAAUGGGGGGUACAGAAGGCCGCUACCUGGUGACAGGAUGCCAAUCCCAAAAACCUCUCUCAGUUCGGAUCGAAGUCUGCAACCCGACUUCGUGAAGCUGGAUUCGCUAGUAAUCGCGCAUCAGCCAUGGCGCGGUGAAUACGUUCCCGGGCCUUGUACACACCGCCCGUCAAGCCAUGAAAGCCGGGGGUACCUGAAGUACGUAACCGCAAGGAGCGUCCUAGGGUAAAACUGGUAAUUGGGGCU